CCUACGGGAGGCAGCAGUAAGGAAUAUUGGACAAUGCUCGCAAGAGUGAUCCAGCCAUGCCGCGUGCAGGAAGAAUGCCCUAUGGGUAGUAAACUGCUUUUGAACUAGAGAAAACCCCAGUACGUGUACUGGGCUGAUAGUAUAGUUAGAAUAAGCAUCGGCUAACUUCGUGCCAGCAGCCGCGGUAAGACGAAGGAUGCAAGCGUUAUCCGGAUUCAUUGGGUUUAAAGGGAGCGUAGGUGGACUGAUAAGUCAGUGGUGAAAUCUCCGAGCUUAACUCGGAAAUUGCCAUUGAUACUGUUGGUCUUGAGUACAGUUGCUGUGGGCGGAAUAUGACAUGUAGUGGUGAAAUACAUAGAGAUGUCAUAGAACACCGAUUGCGAAGGCAGCUCACAAAGCUGUAACUGACACUGAGGCUCGAAAGUGCGGGGAUCAAACAGGAUUAGAUACCCUGGUAGUCCGCACCGUAAACGAUGAUUACUCGCUGCUAGGGGGCAACCUUUAGUGGCUUAGCGAAAGCGAUAAGUAAUCCACCUGGGGAGUACGCCGGCAACGGUGAAACGUCAAAGGAAUUGACGGCUUGAGACGNGCGAGGACGACACGAGGGAGGAGG
rnacentral:rRNA from 1 species